CACCUCUCGAGGUCAUACCUGGAGAGUUUCCAGUACUCUAUCAGUCUUGACUAUGAGAGGGAGAGUCAAGCAGCAGCUGACCCAUUCCAUUCCUAGCUUGGGCAGUGGCUAGUGAGUGGAAGGCACUCUGCUACAAGU